AGUGAACGCUGGCGGUAGGCCUAACACAUGCAAGUCGAACGGCAGCACAGUAAGAGCUUGCUCUUACGGGUGGCGAGUGGCGGACGGGUGAGGAAUACAUCGGAAUCUACUUUUUCGGGGGGGAUAACGUAGGGAAACUUACGCUAAUACCGCAUAUGACCUACGGGUGAAAGCAGGGGAUCUUCGGACUUUGCGCGAUUGAAUGAGCCGAUGUCGGCUUAGCUAGUUGGCGGGGUAAAGGCGUACCAAGGCGACGAUACGUAGGUGGUCUGAGAGGAUGAGCAGCGACACUGAGACGAAGACACGGCGCAGAAUACUAGGGGAGGGAGGAGUGGGGAAUAUUGGAAAAUCGGCGAAAGCAUGAACCAGCAAUGCUGCGUGAGUGAUGAAGGUCUUAGGGUUGUAAAGCUCUUUUACCCGCCAUGAUACUGACAGUACCGGGAGAAUAAGCGCCGGCUAACUUCGUG
rnacentral:rRNA from 1 species